UUUUUUUCUUUUUUUUUUUCCUUUUUUAGCAAGAUCAACCUCGAUUCCUCUUUUCCGCUCACAAUAAGCCUCAGCCACUUACCGGACCGCACUCCGAAAAUGCACUUAUUCGGUUUCAACCUCAGUUUGAAUCGUCUCAAUCGGUCAAACAGCUUGGCCCAACCUACUGGAUGCCGCUCUCCUGUUUCGGACUUUGCUAUCAUGUCAUCAACAUAGCGUUCGAUUUCAUGAUGAAUCAU
rnacentral:lncRNA from 1 species